CCAGUUGUAGCCGAAUCCUCACAUGGGACGCUGGUCCUGUGGGUGUCUGGCCGGUUCCCGUGGCCACUAGAGGCCAGCGACUUUGGUCCCUCCUCCUUUCGCCUCCUCCUCCUCCCCGUGGGAGGUCCAGUGAUGCCGGGGGUGACGUGGACUCCGGAGCGGGCGCUGCUGAGGGGCUUCUCCACCGAGGCGGAGCGGCUGUGGAGCGAGCAGGAGCGGCUCUGUGGCUCAGACAGCAGCUGGUUUUCCUCCUUGGUGUGAGCAGCUUGUAGCUGUUUGUUCAGAGCAACUGGACUGGGCCACUUAUGGACUUGCACCCUCAGGAUUUCUUACCACCUGUCAUGCUUGAGUGGUUUAGUGAGGCAAAGGAAAGAUGAGCUGGAGCAGAGGAUGUCAGCGCUGCAGGAGAGUAGGCGGGAGCUGAUGGUACAGCUGGAGGGGCUGAUGAAGCUGCUAAAGGAGGAAGAGCAAAAGCAAGCAGUAAGUGAAGGUCAGAAUUCUCCUCUGGCCUCCCC